GGCGCGGCUUUGUGGCGGCAGCGGACCGUGGAGGCCGGGUGCAGCCCCGUCGGCUCCGCGCUCUCGGCAGAAAAGGCUUUUAUAUGCCCCCUGCCCAUCACUUGGAUCUGAUCUGGGUAAGGGGAGGAUUUUUUUCUGGAAGUACCCCCCCACCCACGGUGAAGGAUUUGAGGCUGGGCUCCAAUCGAGGAGGAGGCUGCAGGGCCCGCGGGGCGCCCCCCACCCCACGCACGCCUCCCGGGAGCCCUGGAAGGCGCAGCCCCGGGGGGGCCCCUGCACCCCCGGAGGAGGCAGCGGCGAUUUGCCCGUUCUGCAUAUUUCCUACCAAUGGAAUCAUACAACUCUCAACCCAAGAAUUCACCUAGAGGUUCAGAGCCUGCAGUUUGUGUUGGGAUGACACUGCAAGGAUGUGCUUAUACUAACGGAACCUUGUCAUGAAGGGGAACGCAACACGCCUGAGAAGGAGGGAGAGAGUGGAAGAGAGGGACUCACUGAAGAGAGCAGCUAUUGCCCAGUGCCCUUCACCAAGGUGGCAUCAUUCACACACCCAUCUACAAUGCACAAGUGAGGGUGUCUGUUUCCAACACCCUUGCCCACCUUGGCAAGGAUGCAGCAUGUCAGGAGGAAGCAAAUCUCAAACUCAGAUAAACUUGCCAGUAAUUUCAGCGUAUGAAACAUGGAAUGUGUCGAGGCCAGAGGAUGGAAAACACUCCGGUUUUGAUAAAAGGAGGUCUGCUCGGCUUGGAAUCCUCCAUCCUGCUAGUCAGCAGACGCAAAGAUUUAUCCAGAAAGGGGCUGAUGAAUUGAGAAAACAGAAAUGAGGCCAAUGUUCUGUGGAGAUAGGGCUGAUUUGAGGUCUGAGGCGGGAAAUAUGCAAGAUGAGCCUGGAACACCUUAUCAUCCAAGUAGCUCAGAAGCUGUUAUGGGGACAUAUCAAAAAGGAAGCAGGAAGACAACGUGAAGAGGCUCCCACUGGCCAAAGAUGGGACAUUUUGAACAUCAAUAAGAAUAAUAACUGCAAUGGAUGGAAAUGUGUUAUGUAUGUCCAAAUCUGAUAUCCACACUUUCCAACUACUGACUAUCUGCUCUGCCAGACCUACAGAAUAUUUUCACUUAACUGAGUGCUCAUAUUUCCAUGAACCCCUGACUCAACGGUGACCCAUGAAUGACGCUCAAUAAACAGUGAUCGAAUGGACCAACCAACACUAUCAUCACCUCUGACUGGGCCUCCAUCUGAAAUUGCAGAAACCCUCUAUAGCUGCCGUGGCCUCCAGUUCCCAUUUCAGACAGGCUGGUAUCCAUGAUGUCACAUGACAGAAGAUGAUUCCAGAGAAACACUGGCCAAAAGGCUCCUGGAGGGAGCUAUGGCAGACAAGACUGGGUGUGGUUUUUCUUUAAUUAUUGUACCUGUUUUGUCUGUUCUUUCUUGGCUCUGUUCACAUCCCCAUCCCAGCACCAGUGCAGGAGAACAAAACAAAAACAAAACAUUAUCGCAGAGUUUGAGACAAGAUGGCUGGCUGGUUCCCUCUCUGCUUGUAAUUAAUGCCAAAAAUGUUCAUGACUUGCCUUGGCCACAAAGGUAAUAAUAAAAUCAGGCGGUCUGAUCAUUUGGCUACUAACUUCCUUCUUCGUUGUUUUUUUUUUUCCUCCCAGUUUCCUUAAAUUAAUUCCAGAGUUCCUCCAGAUUUCUCGUUGCUAAGCUAUAAAAUUCCAAUUUCUCAGCGCCCAUGCUGAUUGGCAGGGAGGCUCCGGGCAGUUCCAAUCAGAAGCAGGUUGCUGAAAGGAACAUCUACAUCGUAGCUUGCCCCGGGGUAUUGGAAUUUUCUCCCUGAUGUUAUGAACCAUCAAAGUCUUUGUCUAACUGUGCAAAACCCGUUCUCUUGAUCUUGUCUGCCUCUCUCUGGAGUGCAGGCUGUUGGGGGGAUGCCAGAGGUCCUGGAAUUUCCCGCUGGUCCUGGAGGAAUAGGGAGUCCCUGGGUCUCCAGGUUGGGGUCAGCGACAGAAAUGCCCACGGCCUGUCCAUGGUUGACCAAAGAUGACAGCAUGGUGCCCUGCCAUGGGCUGGGACAUGCCUCAAUCCUCCCCUGACUGACCUCUCGUGUGCCAUCUCUUAAGCUUGGUGAAAGGCUGAAGGGGGUUGAGGAAAAGUAGGUGCCAUUGGAUGUGGGGUUGUUGCGGAGAGGCUGCAUUUGUAAAGGACUUUAAAACAUGUAGACGGUAAAGGCACCGUGGAGGGCCAUUCUGAUGUUUCACCUCCAGAAUCCUGAUGCAAGCAGCCACCGUGAACUGAGCUCCUACUUUGCCCCAGAAACUUUAUUUUUAUUUUUUAAACCACGUUAUUGAGGUAUGAUUGACAUACAAAAAGCUAUCUAUAUUUAAUGUAUACAACUUGUUGAGUUUGGAGAUAACUAUACACCGUGAGACAUGGAGAACAGACUGGUGGUUGCUAAGGGAGAGGGGGUUGGGGGAGGGAUGGAGUGGAAGAUUGGGGUCAGCAGAUGUGAGCUUUUAUAUAUAGAAUGGACAGACAACAAGGUCCUGCAGUAUAGCACAGGGAACUAUAUUCAAUAUCCUGUGAUAAACCAUAAUGGAAAAUAUUUUAAAACGAAUGUAUACAUAUGUAUAACUGAAUCACUUUGCGGUACAGCAGUAAUGAACACAACAUUGUCAAUCAACUAUAGUUCAAUUAAAAAUAAAAAUAAAAAAUAAGUAUACACCUGUGAAACUACCAUCACAAUCUAUGCCAUAAAUAUAUCCAUCACUUCCAAAAAUUUCCUCCCACCUUCUUUACUAUUAUUUUUUCUUGUGAUAGGAGCAUUUAACAUAAGAUCUACCCUCUUGGUAAAAUUUUAAGUGUACAAUACAGUGUUAACUAUCAUGAUCGUGCUGUACAUUAGAUCUCCAGAACUUAGUCACCUUGCAGACCUGAAGCUUUGUACCCCUUGACCGAUAUCUCCCCAUUUCCCCCUCCUCCCACCCCCUGGAAAUCCCCAUCCUAUUCUCUGGUUCUCCGAGUUUGACUAUUUUAGAUUUCUCCUAUAAGUGGUAUCAUGGAGUGUUUGUCCUGUGUCUGGCUUAUUUCACUUAAGCUAAUGUUCUCAAGGUCCAUCCAUGUGUUCACAUAGUUCAGAAUUUCCUUCUUUUUAAGGCUGAAUAUGCCAUUGCAUGUACCACAUUUUCUUUCUCCAUUCAUCUGUCAAUGGACAUUUAAGUUGACUCCAUGUCUUGGCUAUUGUGCUAGAAACUUUACACACACAUCUCCUCCCAUCCUGAAACUCCCACCGGACAGACAGAGAACAUGAUGGACGUCUGCUGGUUUUCCUUGCACAGCUUUAUUUUUCACCGACAGGGGAGUCAUGCCACAGGGGAAAUCAUGUGACCCAAGCCUGGCCACAGUGAUUGGCUCUGGGAUGGGCACAUAACCAAGUUGGGCCAAUCAGAAUCAUUCUUGUGCCUUUUUUUUUUUUUUUUUUGCCAGAACUAUAGGAAAAGAGCCCCAACUCUUGCCACUGGAUUUGCUGAGCUAGUGACCACUGUGAACACACGUGGAAGGUGCCUGAGGGAGAUAAGGAGCCCCUGUGACAAUGCUUGAGUUCUGCAUGCAGCUCUGGGGAUCUCAGAUCUAGUUCUUGGAUUUUAGUUAAAGGAACAGUAAAUUAUUUGUCUGUUUAAGCCAAUUUGCCUUGUGUGUCUGUUGCUUCUAACUGACAAGAGUGAAUAAUACUGACACAUAGUUUUCUCCUCAUGGUGCCUGGCUCUGGGUUGGGCAAUGUGCAUGUAUUCCCACAUAGGGUCCUUAUAAUCACCUGGUGAGGUAUUCUGUUUUGCAGAUAGAAAAACCAAG